GUGCUUAACACAUGCAAGUCGAGUGCGCGCCUGUAGCAAUACAGGUGGCGCACGGCGCACGGGUGCGUAACACGUGGGUAAUCUGCCCUCUGAUGGGGAAUAACUCGCCGAAAGGCGAGCUAAUUCCGCAUAACAUUCCAGGGACUUUGGUUCUUGGACUCAAAGGCGUAAGUCGUCGGAGGAGGAGCCCGCGCACGAUUAGCUAGUUGGUGAGGUAAUGGCUCACCAAGGCUAUGAUCGUUAGCUGGUCUGAGAGGAUGGCCAGCCACACUGGAACUGAGACACGGUCCAG
rnacentral:rRNA from 1 species